rfam:Gossypium hirsutum cultivar TM-1 unplaced genomic scaffold scaffold2118.1, whole genome shotgun sequence
UGUUAAAAAAUCGUCCAUUUAUACUAUUAAAAAUUGGCGACGCUGAUAGAAUAAUUAAAUAGUGAUUCUUGAUGUGCCACGUGUAUAUUGUGCUAAUGUAUAUGGACCAAUUUUUAAGAGUAAAAAUAGACAAAAAAAUUUAAUA